rnacentral:lncRNA from 1 species
GAUUAUGUCAAGAUCAGUUUUUACAUACCACAUAAUGUUUCCGAUCACGCCCACCUCCAGACCGCGUGUGUGUUGUUAUUAUGACAAGAAUACGAAGGAAUGUAUUAUUAAAACUGUCGUGUUUUUCUGUGUUCACAUAACAACAUUACCCUUUACUACUCCCCUUAUCUCACGAAAAAACUGUUGUCUCUGUGCCCCUUUAACGUUAUGGUCAGGUUUCUUUACAUAACAGUGGAAAUAUUGUUUAUGAACUCCUCUACCAUCUUUACCCCUCCCUUCCCAGAGAAAACUAUUGACGUAGAUGCGCCCCUCGGAAAAAAGGGCUGCGUCAAUCAAUCUUUCCAUUAUCGGCAGGUCCUAGUGCUGGUCAAUGUGGUAACAUAUAUGGUAACUUUGAAGUUUUCCUCUCACUGAGACUGUAUUUCUUUUGCCCCAGGAAAUUCUUUAUUCCAUUGAAGCAGGUUCCCCCAAAAAUUAUUUUUCUCCAACAUGUACACUAGUAGAAGGCCCUUUCUCUGAUAAUGCAAAAAAUAUUAAGUCAGCUUACCGUUCUCUGCCUUAUCUGAUUUCCGUCUCCCAGUCAUAUAAUUUAGUCAGUUUUAUAAGGCAAGAGUUGUUGUUCUGUGCUUGGGUUGUGUUAUAAAGUUCUUCUCCACAAACAGUCUCCCAUUCUCUCAGUCGUCUUCAUCAUUUUGCAUGAUAUAGAAGCAAGGGACAGUAGCUCUAGUGCAUUUAUAUAAUGGAGGAGGAGGAGGGAUGUUUCUUUUGCACCCAUUAAAACUUCCUGUAAUUUGUUUUGCUGUAAGUUGAACACUAUUUUAGCCGCCAUGAACAUCACAUUCCAUGCUAUAUUUUGAUGUAUGAGUUUGUGACUUAUGAAGAUUUUGUUAUGUAGGUAAAAUUGCAACCUGUGGGAAUUGGUGUCCGUUUUUUUAAUGCAUGGGUGUGUUGUGUAGCCAAGUGUGGAUUUUGAUGAGAAUUGUGUUACAUAAGUGUGUGGCAAAAGCAAAUUUUAGGAUUCAAAGUUCCCUUCUUUCUGCAGGUGUAGGUGUGGAGAAUCUUCUGAGAGGACUUGACCGUGAGGGCGUCACCACCAACAACCUCUUAGUGGAGGUCACAGACUACCUUUCCCUGGAAGAAGAUCAUCGCCUAAGAGAUCUGGCUCGAAGUUUCGGAAUUCUGGGUUUUCAAGUCACUUGGACAGGAAGAAGAAGCGACUAAGUCUCGAAUACACUCAUUAAAUUGUUGUAUUACUAUCUGGAGCUGCAGAUGACAAGAAACUGAAGAAUUUUGAUUAGAAAAAGACUAUUUUACGAAACCUUUUAUAACACAAAUUGAAAAAAAUUUAAUCUAUCAAUAAUCAUUAUAUAAAACGAAAUUUAACCAAAAAUAUAAUGAAAUGAAAAAUAUGAAUAAAAUAUUAACUCCGUAAGCUUUUCAGGACAAAGGGAAAAUCCUAAUUCAAUUAUGAUUUGUAUUCUCGGUACAUGAUGAAAAUUUGUAAUUUGAUCAUAUAAAAAGUAUGGAUAUUUUCUGAACCACUUUAAUAUCAUA